CCGUUUCUUUCUGUUUCAUGAAUGGGCUGAACAGGUGUCAGUCUUUGUGUUGACCAAUUAGUGAGAGAAGAGGCGGGUCAAACAGAUACAGAAGGAACGUAACCUACCGCGUGGAUGGAACGUGUUUGCAGCCGUUGGAGGGUUGCGAACAGUGCGUUUCAGACGCUCACGUCGCUGCUGUGACGCACUGAGAACGUGCUGCUGCUGUUGAAGCCUGUCCAGAGUUCAUGCACAGUUAGCGGGACAAACGGCCACCAACAAACAGUGAAGUCUCACAGAAUGAACAGGAGCUGAUGGACUGACUGUGAUAGUGAAUCCCAGUAAAAGGCUGCGGAGAGAAGAGGGAACACCCGCUCGAAAGCAACUCUGCCCGGUUUGUUCUGCUGCCAAAACGCCUGACGGAUGGGGCUCUGCAGGCGGGACGGGGAGCAUGCACGCACGUAUGCACGCACGCACACAGGCACACAGACAGACGCACACACACGCAGACACACACAGUCAGAAACACACACGCACACACACACACAGGACCGCUGCCUCCCUACAGUGACUACAUCGACUGCAUGGGCCACUGUGUCUUGAGAGGUUUCUUUUGGCUCGGCGCCACAUGGACCCAACUCACCACGCUGUGUUUUUAUUGGGAGCCUCCCUCCGAACCAAUUUCCAGUCUUUACUGUGUGUAACGGGUUUUAAAACUGAUUAGGAAUCCUAAUACCUGAGCUCACGUUCCCACAACCUCCAAGCAGCAGCUUCACACAUGGAGGUAUUUGGAUGAAUCCACUUUAAAACCCAGAAGUGCUCGUCUUACACUGAGUGGAACACUUCCUACCCUUUCUUUACGCGUUCUUCUUUAACUUUUAUGUCGGACCUCAUGAAAUCGUGACGAUCAAGCUCUUAACUUCUAAACUUACAGGUUUAUUUUGGACCGUUUGACUCUUUGUCCUUCACUCAUUCUAAUUUCAAACCUGUGCAACAGCCUGAACUGGUCCAACAUCAACUGCUUUCUGUUGAAGCUGCUGAGUGUUGGCUGUGGGUGAAGUCACUCAGAACCUCAUACACGUCCAGCAGCUCUAAUUCACUCAAGGACUGUUUCAUUGGCUGUGGAAACGUUGGCAGCAUCUGUAGCAGUUGGUGAACAUGGAGUGGAAGGAGCAGCACUUUAGAACGUACAGUAAAUGAAGUCCUGAGGACGACUGUGCUGUUUGUGAAGCAUUAUCGCCUUCUUCGCUGUUUUAACUAUUGAUGUACUAAAACAUGGUGAUUUGGAGAUUUGCAUUAAAGCAGCUGCUGGCAUAUGUAACUCCUGUCAGCUUGGACUUGUUCUGUUCUGUGUGUCUGGGAAGUUGUUCACGUUGUCCUCAUCUUUGUCUCAACAUCUGUUGUGUCUUUCCCUCCAUAAC